CCUAGAUGAUUUUAGUGCUUGCACUAAAUGAAACUAGAUACAAGCGAGCGGCGGACGGGUGAGUAACACGUGGGUAACCUGCCCAAGAGACUGGGAUAACACCUGGAAACAGAUGCUAAUACCGGAUAACAACACUAGACGCAUGUCUAGAGUUUGAAAGAUGGUUCUGCUAUCACUCUUGGAUGGACCUGCGGUGCAUUAGCUAGUUGGUAAGGUAACGGCUUACCAAGGCAAUGAUGCAUAGCCGAGUUGAGAGACUGAUCGGCCACAUUGGGACUGAGACACGGCCCAAACUCCUACGGGAGGCAGCAGUAGGGAAUCUUCCACAAUGGACGAAAGUCUGAUGGAGCAACGCCGCGUGAGUGAAGAAGGGUUUCGGCUCGUAAAGCUCUGUUGGUAGUGAAGAAAGAUAGAGGUAGUAACUGGCCUUUAUUUGACGGUAAUUACUUAGAAAGUCACGGCUAACUACGUGCCAGCAGCCGCGGUAAUACGUAGGUGGCAAGCGUUGUCCGGAUUUAUUGGGCGUAAAGCGAGUGCAGGCGGUUCAAUAAGUCUGAUGUGAAAGCCUUCGGCUCAACCGGAGAAUUGCAUCAGAAACUGUUGAACUUGAGUGCAGAAGAGGAG
rnacentral:rRNA from 1 species